GACGAACGCUGGCGGCGUGCCUAAUACAUGCAAGUCGAACGAACCGCGACUAGGUGCUUGCACUUGGUCAAGGUGAGUGGCGAACGGGUGAGUAACACGUGGGUAACCUACCUCAUAGUGGGGGAUAACAGUCGGAAACGACUGCUAAUACCGCAUAGGACAUAGGAUCACAUGAUUCUGUGAGGAAAGGUGGCGCAAGCUAUCGCUAAGAGAUGGACCCGCGGUGCAUUAGCUAGUUGGUAGGGUAAAGGCCUACCAAGGCGAUGAUGCAUAGCCGACCUGAGAGGGUGAUCGGCCACAUUGGGACUGAGGCACGGCCCAAACUCCUACGGGAGGCAGCAGUAGGGAAUCUUCCGCAAUGGACGCAAGUCUGACGGAGCAACGCCGCGUGAGUGAAGAAGGUCUUCGGAUCGUAAAGCUCUGUUGUUAGAGAAGAACAGCGCAUAGAGUAACUGUUAUGCGUGUGACGGUAUCUAACCAGAAAGCCACGGCUAACUACGUG
rnacentral:rRNA from 1 species